AGCAAAUCAUGUUUUCGACACCAUUUGCAACCAAUCUGUCACCAAAACAUCUUCAAAAUUUGUUUGAAACAAGUUUAAAGAUACAGACUUUCCUGACUCGCGCAAUUCCUAUUGCCAACCAUCUAUCAUCGACAGCUUCUCUAGGUGCCAUACAGUAACGAAUAACUGAAAAUUAGCCUCAUCGAUUUGCGAGCUGAAAACUGAAGACCCAACCACUUCACGAAGAGGAUGGUAAGACCGUCCUAAGACUCUCCUUCCUCUUCACGUUCUAAAACGAUCGAUUCCUCCGCAUCAAAAUAAUCACCACUCUUCACCAAACCGCCAUUUCCACAACAACAACGACAAGCCACGGCGCGCCGUCGCCAUCGCCGCCGCCGUCGCCAUCGCCAGCCGUGCACACGCGCGACGAUCUCGCGACGGCGCCACCGCAACUAACGGGAAGAACCGAGCGGGGGAGAUCGUAGUUACCCGAAACGGAAGCCGAUCGAAUCGGGGCGCUCCUCCUCCGGCCGGCGCCGGAGCUGCGCAAUCGGAGGGAAACCGGACCGCCAGGGAAGGACACCGCCGUCGCCGUCGCCGUCGCCGCCGCCGCCGUCGAGCAACCGGGCGCGGCGCGGAGAGGAGGGCGGCAGCUGAUGGCUGCUGCGGAAAACGCCAUUGGCGAGCGAGCGAGCUAGAGAGAGAGAGAGAGAGAGAGGGAGGAGAGAGAAGUUCGUCACCUAACGGAAC
rnacentral:lncRNA from 1 species